rnacentral:tRNA from 1 species
GCGCGGGUGGUGGAAUUGGUAGACACGCAGGUCUCAGAAGCCUGUGGCCGAAAGGCUGUGGGGGUUCAAGUCCCCCCUCGCGCACCA